AGCGUAGACGGCAUGGCAAGCCAGAUGUGAAAGCCCGGGGCUCAACCCCGGGACUGCAUUUGGAACUGUCAGGCUAGAGUGUCGGAGAGGAAAGCGGAAUUCCUAGUGUAGCGGUGAAAUGCGUAGAUAUUAGGAGGAACACCAGUGGCGAAGGCGGCUUUCUGGACGAUGACUGACGUUGAGGCUCGAAAGCGUGGGAGGCAAACA
rnacentral:rRNA from 1 species